rnacentral:rRNA from 1 species
ACGGGAGGCAGCAGUGGGGAAUCUUCCGCAAUGGGCGAAAGCCUGACGGAGCAACGCCGCGUGAGUGAAGAAGGUCUUCGGAUCGUAAAGCUCUGUUGAGAGGGACGAGAGAUAACUUCAGGAAAUGGGAGUUAGAGGACGGUACCUUUCGAGGAAGCCACGGCUAACUACGUGCCAGCAGCCGCGGUAAUACGUAGGUGGCGAGCGUUGUCCGGAAUUAUUGGGCGUAAAGGGAGCGCAGGUGGGAAAGUAAGUCAGUCUUAAAAGUGCGGGGCUCAACCCCGUGAUGGGAUUGAAACUACUUUUCUCGAGUGCAGGAGAGGAAAGCGGAAUUCCUAGUGUAGCGGUGAAAUGCGUAGAUAUUAGGAGGAACACCAGUGGCGAAGGCGGCUUUCUGGACUGAAACUGACGCUGAGGCGCGAAAGCGUGGGGAGCAAACAGGAUUAGAUACCCUGGUA